UGGUAGAAAGGCUCUUUCUUAGGGCCUGGUA
rnacentral:piRNA from 1 species